rnacentral:rRNA from 1 species
AACGAACGCUGGCGGCAUGCCUAACACAUGCAAGUCGAACGAGACCUUCGGGUCUAGUGGCGCACGGGUGCGUAACGCGUGGGAACCUGCCUUUAGGUUCGGAAUAACUCAGAGAAAUUUGAGCUAAUACCGGAUGAUGUCUUCGGACCAAAGAUUUAUCGCCUUUAGAUGGGCCCGCGUUGGAUUAGCUAGUUGGUGGGGUAAAGGCCUACCAAGGCGACGAUCCAUAGCUGGUCUGAGAGGAUGAUCAGCCACACUGGGACUGAGACACGGCCCAGAAUCCUACGGGAGGCAGCAGUGGGGAAUAUUGGACAAUGGGCGAAAGCCUGAUCCAGCAAUGCCGCGUGAGUGAUGAAGGCCGUAGGGUUGUAAAGCUCUUUUACCCGAGAUGAUAAUGACAGUAUCGGGAGAAUAAGCUCCGGCUAACUCCGUG